AUGCACUGGGUGGCAGGCACGGAGCUAGGCAUGGAGAGCUGAGAGUGGAUGAACCUCCUGUCUGACCGGACAGAGAGACGAGGCAGACAACAAGCAACGAUGUCAUGAGGAUCAUAAAGAAAAAUGAAGCACCGUAAGGGGGUUGAGGAGAGCACAGCGUGGGUGAAUCCCUUUAAAGAGCAACGAGUCUUCUUGGUCAACUGAUACAUGCACCUCCCAGGAGCACCAGGUGGGGCGG
rnacentral:lncRNA from 12 species